CAGCCGCCACGGGAACACGUAGGGUGCGAGCGUUAAUCGGAAUUACUGGGCGUAAAGCGUGCGCAGGCGGUUGUGUAAGACAGGUGUGAAAUCCCCGGGCUUAACCUGGGAACUGCGCUUGUGACUGCACAGCUAGAGUAUGGCAGAGGGGGGUGGAAUUCCACGUGUAGCAGUGAAAUGCGUAGAGAUGUGGAGGAACACCGAUGGCGAAGGCAGCCCCCUGGGCCAAUACUGACGCUCAUGCACGAAAGCGUGGGGAGCAAACAGGAUUAGAUACCCGCGUAGUCCCUGUCUCUUAUAC
rnacentral:rRNA from 1 species